CACGUGAGGAACCUGCCCUGGAGACCGGGAUAACUCCCCGAAAGGGGGUGCUAAUACCGGAUGUCCUCAUCGGAUCGCAUGGUCUGAUGAGGAAAUGGAUUCCGCUCCAGGAGGGCCUCGCGGCCUAUCAGCUUGUUGGUGAGGUAACGGCUCACCAAGGCCUCGACGGGUAGCUGGUCUGAGAGGACGAUCAGCCACACUGGGACUGAGACACGGCCCAG
rnacentral:rRNA from 1 species